rnacentral:lncRNA from 1 species
AUCAAUCAAAUUCAAUUAAAAUUUUUAAGAAAUUAUAUAAGAAAUACAAAGAAUUUUCAAAGAUCCUUUGAAGAAAUCAUAAAAAAUAACAUAGAAAUUCAAAAAAUAUAUAUACUAAAAUAGAAAUCUUAAUAAAACAUUAAAAUGAAGCAUUAAUUAAAUCCUAGUCAAAAUCUAAUCAAAUAUUAAUCAAAUCUUAAUCAAACCUUGGUUAAAUCUUUAUCAAACCUUAGUCAACCUCUAAAUAAGUCCUAACCAAAUCCUAGACAAAUCCUACUCAAAUCCAAAUCAAAUCCUAAAUAAAUCCUAAAUAAGCCCUAAUCAAAUCUUAAUCAAAUCUUAAACAAAUUUUAAUCAAAUCCUAAUAAAAUCCUAGUCAAAUCCUAAAAAAAUCUUAAAUAAGCCUUUACCAAAUUCUAGACAAAUCCUAAAUAAGCCCUAAUCAAAUCUUAAAUAAAACCUAGUCAAAUCCUAGACAUAUUCUAACUAAAUUCUAAUCCUAAUCAAACCUUAAAUCAAAUCCAAAAUCCUAAUCCUAACCCUAAUCAAAUCCUAAUCCUAACCAAAUCUUAAAUCAAUC